ensembl:lncRNA
GCCAUGGCCACGGUGGAAAGAGGGGCCAGAAGUGACUUAGGAGAGAUGGACAGUUCAGCUGAAGGGUAUUACUAACUACUCCCUAUCUGGUGAAAAUAAGUGAGCAAUUAGGGCAGUUACAUUGGACCUGGAGACCAUCAAGUUGUUAAUUGGCGAAAACUGCUGCCUGACUUGAAGCCUUUAAAGAGUUCUUAGUAUCAGACAGGGACAGCCAGGAGACACUACUUGCAUUCGCUUCAGUAAAGGGAACAUCCUGGAGGUUUUUGAAACGUCUUAAAAGUGGUAGCAGACAGCAAAGCUCCUCAGACCCUUCAGAGAAACAGAAGCCUUAGCAUCUGUUUGGCAGUAUUCCUAUGAAAGGAGGAAGUUCCUUUCCAAUGGAGCAAUAGAUUCAGCUAAGGAACUCAAUACUUGAAAAAGGGACCAGAGGAAAAAUGAAUUAAUGAAGCCUUUCCAAGCCCUGACUGUUAUAGAGACCAUCUGUGGUCCGCCUGCCCAGUGCCUUUUAUCUACAGAGGGGUCAUCUCCUUCUUCAAGGAAAUCACAUGUCCCGGACCCUGCUCUUAUGAUUUGGAUGGAAAGGACACAACCCUCUGGCUUUGGUGGGAACUCAGAUCCAACCAAUGAGAACACUGCAUCCCUCGGCCACAGUAACUAAUGCUGAGUUUGACCCUUGACUGAUGCCAGAGCAAACAGAGACAGCCCUGAACCUCUCGCUAAGAUGCUUGGGAGAGAGAUCAUUUCUCUCUGCUGGGAUUGCUAAGCUGGCAACAUGCACGCCCAGAGCUGCUGGAAGUCAUCUUGCUACCACGGGAAGAGAGCCUGCCAGAGAAGACAUCCAACAUAAAGGAGAGCAGAGCCAGGGAUGGACGGAUACUAAUUCCUGAUGACACCAUACGAGUAUCGGGAUCCAGCUACACUUAAAGCCAGAACUACUUGGAUGUUUGUUAUAUGAACAAACAAAAAGUAUUCUGUUGUUGUCCAAGUCGGUAACAACUUGAAUUCUAAGGAUGCUAUACCUGGAAAGGAAGACUACCAAUAUACAAAUUUAUAGCCUAGAGAAAUG